GAAGCUGGAAUCGCUAGUAAUCGCGAAUCAGCAUGUCGCGGUGAAUACGUUCCCGGGUCUUGUACACACCGCCCGUCACACCAUGGGAGUUGGAAAUGCCCGAAGUCAGUGACCCAACCGAAAGGAGGGAGCUGCCGAAGGCAGGUUCGAUAACUGGGGUGAAGUCGUAACAAGGUAAC
rnacentral:rRNA from 1 species